rnacentral:rRNA from 1 species
GGCCGUUCUUAGUUGGUGGAGUGAUUUGUCUGCUUAAUUGCGAUAACGAACGAGACCUUAACCUGCUAAAUAGCCCAACCGGCUUUGGCUGGCUGCUGGCUUCUUAGAGGGACAUUCGGCUCAAGCCGACGGAAGUUUGAGGCAAUAACAGGUCUGUUAUGCCCUUAGAUGUUCUGGGCCGCACGCGCGCUACACUGACAGAGCCAGCGGGUUGUUUUCCUUGACUGAAAGGUCUGGGUAAACCUGGAAACUCUGUCGUGCUGGGGAUAGAGCAUUGCAAUUAUUGCUCUUCAACGAGGAAUGCCUAGUAAGCGCAUGUCAUCAGCAUGCGUUGAUUACGUCCCUGCCCUUUGUACACACCGCCCGUCGCUACUACCGAUUGAAUGGCCCAGUGAGGCAUUCUGACUGGCUGGAGGAUGUUGGUAACGACAACCUUUGGCUUGGAAGUGUUCCAAACUUGGUCAUU